rnacentral:lncRNA from 1 species
CAAGUAUGGCGCUUAGUGCCGUUUGAACAAUCAUAUUUCGGAUUAGCCCAUGUAAUCGUUCGACUCUUAGUCAAUUAAGUUUUUCGACAUGUUCAUUGUUCCCGGUGUUGUCUAGCGGGGUGGCCCUUUUAGCCUUUGCGUGUUUUGCCUUGUGUUGCGGGGGACUCGCGCGCCUCACCCUUGACCAGACCAGGGACCC